AGGUGCGCCCCGGUCAGAGCUCAGGAUGGCCCAAAACGCAGAAUAAUAACGCUUCGGGAACUUUUAAUAAAGUGGCGUUCCUUAAAAGUUUGCUAGGUGCAAAGGUGCGCCCCGGUCAGAGCUCAGGAUGGCCCAAAACACGAAUAAUAACGCUUCGGAACUCCUGCUUAAUCAUCUUUUAGAAAGACUUCGCUCUCAAUUGGAGCAUAUUCUGGGACGCAUGCCUCUUGACCUGGACUUCUUAGAGUUCACUUGCACACAAGAACUUGUGUUAUUAAAUGCUGUAUCCAGUCAAGUAACUGUUUGUCCAGCUAUUCUAGACUCACUGACACAGCUACACAGUCUUAUCAAUCUGGAAAAAGACAAAAGGGAGCAACACAUUGCAGUUGUGCAGUUUGAGCAAGGACCGGCUGGGCGACAAAGAAUGGUCAUAUCCCCAGAGUACCUUAGCAAACUUUUGGAACUUAAUCUGUCUGUUCCAUGUAUAGCUAAACUUUUGGGGAUGUCCAGGCGCACAGUAUACAGACGCAUGGCUGAGUCUCAGUUAAGGGAUUAUACAGCACUAUGACUGAUGAAGAGUUAGAUCAGUGUGUAAGAGAGAUUAAGUCGAGGCAGCCUCACUCUGGAUAUCGGAUGGUGAAGGCCCUUCUGCAAGCCAGAGGACUGAGGGUGCAGUAUAACCGCGUCAGAGCCUCCAUGCACCGUGUUGACACCACUGGUGUCAUAAGCCGCAUGGUCCACGUAGGAUGUAUCGCUCGACGGACCUACUCAGUUCCAGGACCCCAGUCUUUGAUGCACAUAGAUACAAACCAUAAAUUAAUUCGGUAAAUUCUUAUCAAGCAAUGUUUUUGGCAAAAUGCAUACAUUCAAAGUGUGUUUGCAAAGUAUUUGGUAGUUAUCAGUAUGCUCCAUAACACAUUUUUUAUACUGCUGCUUUCAUGUUACUGUAUAUGUACCAUCACAGCUAAGCUCCUUAAAAAUGGUAUACACCUGGUGUAUUACGUUUAGAAACUGUGUUUAGAACACUGGCAGUAUGUUAUAUGCAGCUGAAUUUUUUUCUUAAAUUCUCUUUCAGCUACAACAUCGUU